UACGUAGGGGGCAAGCGUUGUCCGGAAUCAUUGGGCGUAAAGCGCGUGUAGGCGGCCCGAUAAGUCCGCUGUGAAAGUCCAGGGCUCAACCCUGGGAUGCCGGUGGAUACUGUCGGGCUCGAGUCCGGAAGAGGAGUGUGGGAAUUCCGUGGGUGUAGCGGUGAAAUGCGCAGAUAUCAGGAGGAACACCAAUGGCGAAGGCAGCACUCUGGGACGUGACUGACGCUGAGGUGCGAAAGCCAGGGAGCGAACGGG
rnacentral:rRNA from 1 species